rnacentral:rRNA from 1 species
UUGCAGUUAAAAAGCUCGUAGUUGGAUUUUUAAGGGUACCAGUCUUGUAUCGGUCUUCUAGUAUCGUUUCUUGGCCUGGUUCCUCUUAUUUUGCGUCUGCGCUCGGUUGGAAUUCGUUUUCUGAUCGUGCAUUAGACGCGUGUUUACUUUGAGAAAAUUAGAGUGUUCAAAACAGUCUCUUGAUUGUAUAUCAUAGCGUGGAAUAAUAACUGAUGACUUCGGUCAAUUGUUUAUUGGUUUGGAUGGCUGAUGUAAUGAUUGAUAGAGUUAGUCGGAGAUAUUAGUAUUUUAUCGCUAGAGGUGAAAUUCAUGAAUCGAUAAAAGACUAACAACUGCGAAAGCAUUUAUCUAGGAUUUGCUCUUUGAUCAAGAACGAAAGUUGGGGGAUCGAAGACGAUCAGAUACCGUCGUAGUCUCAACUUUAAACUAUACCAGCUAGGGGUUGGCAAAUGUUUCCUUCGACUUUGUCAGAACCUUAUGAGAAAUCAAAGCAUUUGGGUUCCGGGGGGAGUAU